rnacentral:rRNA from 1 species
AACGAACGCUGGCGGCAUGCCUAACACAUGCCAGUCGAACGAGACCUUCGGGUCUAGUGGCGCACGGGUGCGUAACGCGUGGGAACCUGCCCUUAGGUUCGGAAUAACUCCCCGAAAGGGGUGCUAAUACCGGAUAAUGUCUUCGGACCAAAGAUUUAUCGCCUUUGGAUGGGCCCGCGUUGGAUUAGCUAGUUGGUAGGGUAAAAGCCUACCAAGGCGACGAUCCAUAGCUGGUCUGAGAGGAUGAUCAGCCACACUGGGACUGAGACACGGCCCAGACUCCUACGGGAGGCAGCAGUGGGGAAUAUUGGACAAUGGGCGAAAGCCUGAUCCAGCAAUGCCGCGUGAGUGAUGAAGGCCUUAGGGUUGUAAAGCUCUUUUACCCGGGACGAUAAUGACAGUACCGGGAGAAUAAGCUCCGGCUAACUCCGUG